ACACUUUGGCAGCACAUACACUAAAAAUUGGAACCAUACAGAGAAGAUUAACAUAGCCCUGUGCAAGGAUAACAUGCAAAUUCAUGAAGCAUUCCAUAUUUUU